AGUCGAGCGGUAAGGCCUUUCGGGGUACACGAGCGGCGAACGGGUGAGUAACACGUGGGUGAUCUGCCCUGCACUUCGGGAUAAGCCUGGGAAACUGGGUCUAAUACCGGAUAUGACCUCCUGUUGCAUGACUUGGGGUGGAAAGAUUUAUCGGUGCAGGAUGGGCCCGCGGCCUAUCAGCUUGUUGGUGGGGUAAUGGCCUACCAAGGCGACGACGGGUAGCCGACCUGAGAGGGUGACCGGCCACACUGGGACUGAGACACGGCCCAGACUCCUACGGGAGGCAGCAGUGGGGAAUAUUGCACAAUGGGCGAAAGCCUGAUGCAGCGACGCCGCGUGAGGGAUGACGGCCUUCGGGUUGUAAACCUCUUUCAGCAGGGACGAAGCGCAAGUGACGGUACCUGCAGAAGAAGCACCGGCUAACUACGUGCCAGCAGCCGCGGUAAUACGUAGGGUGCAAGCGUUGUCCGGAAUUACUGGGCGUAAAGAGUUCGUAGGCGGUUUGUCGCGUCGUUUGUGAAAACCAGCAGCUCAACUGCUGGCUUGCAGGCGAUACGGGCAGACUUGAGUACUGCAGGGGAGACUGGAAUUCCUGGUGUAGCGGUGAAAUGCGCAGAUAUCAGGAGGAACACCGGUGGCGAAGGCGGGUCUCUGGGCAGUAACUGACGCUGAGGAACGAAAGCGUGGGUAGCGAACAGGAUUAGAUACCCUGGUAGUCCACGCCGUAAACGGUGGGCGCUAGGUGUGGGUUCCUUCCACGGAAUCCGUGCCGUAGCUAACGCAUUAAGCGCCCCGCCUGGGGAGUACGGCCGCAAGGCUAAAACUCAAAGG
rnacentral:rRNA from 1 species